AGAGUUUGAUUCUGGCUCAGGAUGAACGCUGGCGGCGUGCCUAACACAUGCAAGUCGAACGGAACUGCGACGUACGAAGAGGCUUCGGCCAAAUCCUGUUGCAGUUAGUGGCGGACGGGUGAGUAACGCGUGGAUAACCUGCCAUACACAGGGGGGAUAACAGUUAGAAAUGACUGCUAAUACCGCAUAAGCGCACGAGAGGGCAUCCUUUUGUGUGAAAAAGCGCAUACGGUGUAUGAUGGGUCCGCGUCCGAUUAGCCAGUUGGCGGGGUAAGAGCCCACCAAAGCGACGAUCGGUAGCCGGCCUGAGCGGGUGAACGGCCACAUUGGGACUGAGAGACGACCCAAACUCCUACGGGAGGCAGCAGGUGGGGGAUAUUGCACAAUGGGGGGAACCCUGAUGCAAGCGACGCCGCGUGAGUGAAGAAGUUAUUCGUAAUGUAAAGCUCUAUCAGCAGGGAAGAAACAGACGGUACCUGACUAAGAAGCACCGGCUAAAUACGUGCCAGCCGCGGC
rnacentral:rRNA from 1 species